AGAUCAGAAUCCCACGUGUAACUCUGAUCAACCGAAGAAACCAACCCAGGAUUCUUAAACACAGAAUUCUGGGAUAUGAUUUUGUUUCCUGCCCCUUUUUCCAUGUUUGCCAGGUAAAACCAGUCUGUUGUGGUCUAAUGUUCCUGUUGAGAAAGCAGUCAAGGGAGGAGAAACAUCAUCGUCUAUCUUAGGAAAAUAAAUAAAAGAAGAAAAGGUUCCCCAUCUUAUCAUUGGCUCAGGGGAAAUAGUAUAGAAUCAACCAUUAUUCAAUUCCAGCCUUCAAGGUGACAACACCAUUUAAUAAUAUCACAAGAGAAUUUUUUUUUUUUAUUUGCUAACCUUUUGGUGCACUAUAAAUACCCCUCUCCCUUCAUGCACAAACUUAUCAUCAGCUUAGCUACAUAUAUACCUAUCUGUGUUUUAAUUUCAUUGCUUUCCCAUCAAACCCACCCCCUUGGUUCGUUUUCGAUCGUGUGGCUUAUAUUGUGUUAGGGUAGGGUAAUCUGCAUCCUGAGGUCUAGAUCAGUGUUUAAUUUUCACCAGAUUCUAGGCCACAGGAAGCAGAUUACCUCUUCCUAACUAACAAUGCAAAGAGGUUUAUUGCUACUCAAUCAUGGUGGAUGGCUAUGGCUGAAAGGAGAUUGAGGUUUCAGGAGUUUCAUCACAUACUGGUUAGUUGGAACAUUCUUGGAUGGACUUUUAAGGAACUUUGUCUAGCAGGACAUAGUUUAAUGAUCAAAUAGGGUUCUUCAUUCUUGCACUGUUUUCACCUGAUAUAUGAACAUGGAGGAUAUAUACAGAUGACUUCAUAUAUAUGUUUCUUCAAUUCUUGGAUAAUCUGCAGGUAGCUAUAGGUUUAGUAUAGCUUCUGAAAGGAGUUAAGGAGCCAUGGAUAUGUAUAGUUGCAUGCAAUUAACUUCAUAUGGAGUUAAAUAGAGGUGAAUCGGGACCACCCAACCAAGUUGUUCAAACUAUUAACUUGAUAACCACAAGUUUUCAAGUUCGAUUCA